rnacentral:rRNA from 1 species
CCUACGGGAGACAGCAGUGAGGAAUAUUGGUCAAUGGACGAGAGUCUGAACCAGCCAAGUAGCGUGAAGGAUGACUGCCCUAUGGGUUGUAAACUUCUUUUAUAUGGGAAUAACAUGUUCCACGUGUGGGAUUUUGUAUGUACCAUAUGAAUAAGGAUCGGCUAACUCCGGGCCAGCAGCCGCGGUAAUACGGAGGAUCCGAGCGUUAUCCGGAUUUAUUGGGUUUAAAGGGAGCGUAGGUGGAUUGUUAAGUCAGUUGUGAAAGUUUGCGGCUCAACCGUAAAAUUGCAGUUGAAACUGGCAGUCUUGAGUACAGUAGAGGUGGGCGGAAUUCGUGGUGUAGCGGUGAAAUGCUUAGAUAUCACGAAGAACUCCGAUUGCGAAGGCAGUUCACUGGACUGCAACUGACACUGAGGCUCGAAAGUGUGGGUAUCAAACAGGAUUAGAUACCCCAGUAGUC